rnacentral:rRNA from 1 species
GAUUGCAGUCUGCAACUCGAGUGCAUGAAGCUGGAAUCGCUAGUAAUCGCGAAUCAGAAUGUCGCGGUGAAUACGUUCCCGGGUCUUGUACACACCGCCCGUCACACCAUGGGAGCCGACAACGCCCGAAGUCAGUGACCUAACCGAGAGGGAGGAGCUGCCGAAGGCGGGGUUGGUAACUGGGGUGAAGUCGUAACAAGGUACC